GACUGGCGAACAAAGGAGUUGAUCCUUGAUGCAAUGCUUUCCUGCCACCUUGUUUAAGAACGAGUAUUUGCAUGGACUCGAGACGUGGCAAAUCGGAAUUGCGUCGAAUUCAUUGUGAAUGCGCAUUUAAGCUAGAAGUCUCGGAACAUAACGAACGACACUGGAUGGACCGUAUACUAACAUGUGAACGAAAACUUGGGAAACGAGAAAGAAAGGAAAGAAAGGAAGAGUGGGAAGUAGGCAAAAAGAAAUAGGUUUGAAGAGAGAAACGGCGGUGGGGUAGUGGAAGUUGUCAUUACGCAAAUUUAAGGCUGGAAUAUAACAGACGCGAGAAAUUUUACGCUUUCUGCUGCUUGGGAGUUCGCUCGUAAAAAAGGAGCCUGUAUUAAAACACAUUAAGUCCACCUGCUGGUAGUUUUACUCGUAUCUACGUACGAUGUUUUACUACUCAUGGUAAAAAUUUAAUAAGUUCAUGCAAAUGAGGCCCUUAUGUAAAUCUGGAAGAUUUCAUGGCGGUCCAGAACCGAGGAUCGCGGUACAUAUUUUUCGGCUGUUCCUUAUUACUAUGGAAAAUUUCAACGUUGUAACUAGAACUUGCGAAGCGAACAAAAGAAAAAUUUGAUUCUGCGCGCGUGAUCAAACUCUUGCUCACUAAUUUUAGGCAUUCGUAAAUAAAAUUGAUAGAUUAAUGUCGGCAUCCCUGGAUAAUAAUUAUUAUCGCUUUUGUUGUUAUUCCUGACUUUAUAAGCAAAAUUUACUACUUCAAAAAUUCAUAUGUUUUUAAUACAAAGUUUAUAUUACAUAUUUUCUACGAUUAUCACGAAAGGCUCGUUUUAUUGCUUCACGCAACAGUUCAUAAAUCUAUUUAUAUGUGAAAACGUUUAAACAUUGCGGUAUAUAUAAGAAGCACAAUAUUGCUAUGAGAAUCAAUCAGGUAGCAAUAUGAAUCAAUUGGUGAGACUUUUUGUCUUCCUUUUCGCUAUUAUUCUCAUGUCAGAUUACUUCAUUACGCUGGCUGACGCUAAGUGCGUCUGUAAAAAUGGGCGCCCGGCUCCUGGUUAUAUACACCCGAUUUGUAUAAGAGUCUGUAUGAUCCAAGGAUAAAUAUAUAUGACGAUAUGGCACAUCACUGUUAUAAAUUUUUCUUGUGUGAUUGGGCAGUAUUAGAAAAUAGAGCAUAUUUAAAGCAUACUAAAUUCGUUCAAAUAUUCAUUUCCCUGAGCCUGCAAUAAGAAAAUGCAAUAUAUAACAAUGGAUUCCGCACAAUUUGUUUAAUGAUCUCCUUGACCAGAAAAAAAAUCAGUAGCAGUUUAAAGUACAUCGAAACUUUCGUCUAUCGAGUCCGAACGAUUCUCUUUUCGAAUCUAACUUCUCGAACUUUUCAUUUUCCCGUAAUAUUCAAUUCCCCUGUCGAAGAGGAGUCUUCGUUGAAGAAAAAAUAUCAGACCUCGGCACAUUCCAUCAGAAUCACUGUGGAAACCAAGAUUUUCUUUGGAACGCGUAUUCUCUUAUUCGUUCGGGUGAAAACGCCAAAGGAAAUAGGAAAGUUGUAUCUUAUGGCGAAGGAGGAAGGGAAAAAGGAGGGGAGGACAUGAAGUAAGAAUGGGAAGGGGAAAAAUAAAGAAAGAAACUGCUUUUCAACGCGAGAGAGCGACAGGAUAAAGAGAGGAAUGGUGUAAGAGGGAAAUGAAGAGAAGGAAAGGAAAAAGAACGACUAAGGGGGUAACUUUAUCUGCGCUAGCAGAAGCGGCCCUCGAGUUCGAUUUUGCGCUGCUCACUAAGUUACCUGAUCUGCUCUCCAUUGUCUUGUGAUAACUUUGUGAUACCUGGCUAAGGAUUUCCUUAGAUACGCCGUCUCCGGCUUGUUCCCUGAACGAGAAGAAAGACGAAGCAUAGGGCUUAAGUCGUGAAACUUUCCCAACAAGCCGAACUCCCUCCACCCCGGUCGAGGGUGUUGCAAAAGUCGUAUAUCCGCGAAAUGAUCCCGUGCGCGGUACUUUCACGUGACUCUUGCUACUUCAACGAGGAAACAGCAUUCCUUUUCGUUUAUGUACUUUACGAUAUGAUCGCGUAUUCGCAACUACGUAAACACGUGUUCCAAAGGGUACAAUAUGAUUAUCGACCGAGUUUACACGAAAUGUUAUCUGGCAGAUAAAAUGAAGUCAAGUGGAACGUUCGGCAUUGCAUUAUUGUUAUUGUCUUUUGAUCUUUACGUUUUAUUGUUCUGCGCGAUUAAUUAUCAUUAUGGGAGGAUAAUGGAACGGAAAUACCAGGAUUCACCAGUUGGAUACCUCUGGAUUUAUAUAUAAAUAAGCUUUACGGCAACACCUUGCUCAUUUUAAAUUAGCACAAUGUUUGACUAAGACGGCAAUUAAUUUAAAUUUAUCUUUGUUCAGAAAAUUGAUUAUUUGAUCCGUUCGUGUUUCAUUGCCUUUUAUGCGGGAACAGUGAUGGCGAAGACUGAACAAAAGGAAAAUUAACUCUCAAAUAUUCCCGAUCACUUUUAUGUUAUUCAAAAUGUAUCGCUUUCGGGACACAACGCGAUGCGUAUUUAUACGCGACGAUAUUAAUCUUCCUUUAGUAAAUCCUUUGUUUUCUGAAACACGUUUACGUUUCGAAAUCAAAGUGAAAAAAAAUAAAAGCAAAGCAGAUAAUAUUUGUCACAUUUUACGAAUCGCUAUGCUGGCAUUUCUUUUACUGCACCUAGCAACGUAAAAGCUUAUUGACGGUUCAGGCACCUUUUUGCUUAAUGAAACAGAAAAUAGUUUAAGUAUUUAAGUUGUAAAUUAUCAAAAGGAAUUAGAAAUCCUAUCGUACCUAAAAAUUAGUUACAAUUACUUAAUCAUAUCUUCAUCGGCCACUAUAAUUUUUAAAAUUUUACUGUUGAAAAUUUCGAAUUCUUGUCUUCGUUUCUUUAUUUUAUUCUUUGGCAAUUUAACAUCACAUCAACAAAGUUAUCUGUUCUGGUUGUAAAAUGAUUAGAUUUUAUGGUGAAGAUUAAGAAUUUAAGAAUAGUUUUAUAUGGUCUUGAUAGAUUAAGGUAGUAUUCGUCAUUGUAAUUUUCAUACGUAAAUGAUACUGUAUAUACCUACACUUAUACACAAGGUGGUGAAUCGUUAGGUAUAGAUUUGUGACAACAAUUGUAAUAAAAGAGUUCUUACCUUCUUUAAUAAAUAUUCAUGUGUGAUUUUGGA